AACCAUAAGGUUGUUGCACCCCAACUAGGCAUUGUUGCCGACGAAUCCUAGUUGGAUUGGUGCAACAAAAUGGAUCAACUCUUAGAUUUUUUUACGGCGACACACUAUUUACGCAGUUGCUUCGCCUUAACACACUCUAUGUGAUGAUGUCACGUGUCGCCUUCGAUUUCCUCCGGAACCGUGUCACCGGGUUUUGAGGCCCAAACCCGUUGAAAUAUGUGAAUUGUCACACUGGUUUUGAUGCUCCACCACCAAAACUCUCGUGAGUAGCGUACUCAAAUACGUGUUCCCCAUGUUUUGGACACAUGUCCUGCCAGUCUGCAACCGUGUCAGCGACACGAUCUGCUCCUCCAUGCCCUUGCUCCUACUAGUGUCCCCAAGUGUCAUGCUAGUCAACUGACUUCUCCAGUCCCUCGGUCGAAACACAACGCAUGUCCUUCGUCGCUCCCGAUCCAUUGGCAUAAACCCACAUGACCUUAAUCUUCACUGUCAACCAUCAUCUUCGGACUCCACACUUGCACCACACAGACCAUAAGACAGGUCAGAAUCGUGUUUUAUGAGAGAUGUGUUAUUUUCGGUUUUAUAGUAAAAACAAACGGAUUUUUUGCAAUAUUCUGGAAG
rnacentral:lncRNA from 7 species